AAAGCUUAGGUGGAGACGAGGGGAUCCGCAAAUAUCCUUCGAUCUCGAUUUCAAAUCCAAGAUGCAUACGAGAGGGAGCGGCCGGACGACCGAACACAACAUAGGGAGUAAUUCGUCCCUAUCCUUUCACAUUUAUGCUUUUAAUUUAAUUUAGCAUUAUGCAUAUAGAAAUAGAUUUAUUUUUACGUCAGUCCCGGGACAUGCAUGCAUUAAUUUUGUUUCUAUAUUUUAUACUAACUUAUUUUCAAGUGUUUUUAAUUUGUAGGUAAAGCUUAGGUGGAGACGAGGGGAUCCGCAAAGAUCCUUCGAUCUCGAUUUCAAAUCCGAGAUGCAUACGAGAGGGAGCGGCCGGACGACCGAACACAACAUAGGGAGUAAUUCGUCCCUAUCCUUUUACAUUUAUGCAUUUAAUUUAAUUUAGCAUUAUGCAUAUAGAAAUAGAUUUAUUUUUACGUCAGUCCCGGGACAUGCAUGCAUUAAUUUUGUUUCUAUAUUUUAUACUAACUUAUUUUAAAGUGUUUUUAAUUUGUAGGUAAAGCUUAGGUGGAGACGAGGGGAUCCGCAAAUAUCCUUCGAUCUCGAUUUCAAAUCCAAGGUAAGUGAUUUUAAUAUUAUUUUUUCGUUUCCUAUAUAUAUACUAAUAUCUAUUUUAAAUCUUUUUAGAUGCAUACGAGAGGGAGCGGCCGGACGACCGAACACAACAUAGGGAGUAAUUCGUCCCUAUCCUUUUACAUUUAUGCAUUUAAUUUAAUUUAGCAUUAUGCAUAUAGAAAUAGAUUUAUUUUUACGUCAGUCCCGGGACAUGCAUGCAUUAAUUUUGUUUCUAUAUUUUAUACUAACUUAUUUUCAAGUGUUUUUAAUUUGUAGGUAAAGCUUAGGUGGAGACGAGGGGAUCCGCAAAUAUCCUUCGAUCUCGAUUUCAAAUCCAAGAUGCAUACGAGAGGGAGCGGCCGGACGACCGAACACAACAUAGGGAGUAAUUCGUCCCUAUCCUUUUACAUUUAUGCAUUUAAUUUAAUUUAGCAUUAUGCAUAUAGAAAUAGAUUUAUUUUUACGUCAGUCCCGGGACAUGCAUGCAUUAAUUUUGUUUCUAUAUUUUAUACUAACUUAUUUUCAAGUGUUUUUAAUUUGUAGGUAAAGCUUAGGUGGAGACGAGGGGAUCCGCAAAGAUCCUUCGAUCUCGAUUUCAAAUCCAAGAUGCAUACGAGAGGGAGCGGCCGGACGACCGAACACAACAUAGGGAGUAAUCCGUCCCUUUCCUUUCACAUUUAUGCUUUUAAUUUAAUUUAGCAUUAUGCAUAUAGAAAUAGAUUUAUUUUUACGUCAGUCCCGGGACAUGCAUGCAUUAAUUUUGUUUCUAUAUUUUAUACUAACUUAUUUUCAAGUGUUUUUAAUUUGUAGGUAAAGCAUAUGUGGAGACGAGGGGAUCCGCAAAGAUCCUUCGAUCUCGAUUUCAAAUCCAAGAUGCAUACCAUAGGGAGCGGCCGGACGACCGAACAAAACAUAGGGAGUAAUUCGUCCCUAUCCUUUUACAUUUACGCAUUUAGUUUAAUUUAGCAUUAUGCAAAUAGAAAUAGAUUUAUUUUUACGUCAGUCCCGGGACAUGCAUGCAUUAAUUUUGUUUCGAUAAUUUAUACUAACUUAUUUUCAAGUGUUUUUAUUUUGUAGGUAAAGCUUAUGUGGAGACUAGGGGAUCCGCAAGAUCUUCGAUCUCGAUUUCAAAUCCAAGAUGCAUACCAUAGGGAGCGGCCGGACGACCAAACAAAACAUAGGGAGUAAUUCGUCCCUAUCCUUUUACAUUUACGCAUUUAGUUUAAUUUAGCAUUAUGCAUAUAAAAAUAGAUUUAUUUUUACGUCGGUCCCGGGACAUGCAUGCAUUAAUUUUGUUUCUAUAUUUUAUACUAACUUAUUUUCAAGUGUUUUCAAUUUGUAGGUAAAGCUUAUGUGGAGACGAAGGGAUUCGCAAAGAUCCUUCGAUCUCGAUUUCAAAUCCAAGAUGCAUACGAGAGGGAGCGGCCGGACGACCGAACACAACAUAGGGAGUAAUUCGUCCCUAUCCUUUUACAUUUAUGCAUUUAAUUAAAUUUAGCAUUAUGCAUACAGAAAUAGAUUUAUUUUUACGUCGGUCCCGGGACAUGCAUGCAUUAAUUUCUGCAAAUUGUUACGUGCUAGGCACGGUCCAAUUUAUUAAAAUAAUUGAAGUAAAAAUAUUUUUUAAUAUAAUAUUAACUUUAAAAUAAAAUUAAUAAUUAAUUAACGUUUAAUUUCUUAAUUAUCAAUAAAAGUAUUUUGUCCUAAUUAUAUCAAUUUAGAUUAAUAUAAUUUAUUUUUUAAUAAAAAAAGACAAAUUAUUUUUAAAUCUAAUAUUAAAAAUUUGGGCUGGGCUGGCCCGGUAUAAUUUCAAACCGGGCCAUGCCUUGGUUUGGGUUUUCAAGCCCAAUGCAAAAUCAGGCCGGGCCUAUCGGGCUUGAAUUUUAAAACGGCCCGUGCCAGCCCAAAAAAAAUAUUACUCCCUCCCUCGCGAAAAAUGCACAAAUUUUUUGCGUGGCGGGGGAGUAAUACCAGCUUUAUAAAUUGCCACAUUUUUUUUUCAAAAAUGAUAUAACUUUAUCAAAUAAUGGAAGCAAGAUACCUUGAAAUAUGAAUCCACCAAUAUGCUGAAGCUUUUUUCUUUAAAUCCGCCGAUAUGCUGAAGCUUUUCCCAGGAAUACCUUUGUAUCGAACUGCAAUGGUGCACCAGAGAAGUCAUUUCCCAAUACUUUUGCAUAUACCUCUUGAAAGUAAGAGAUUUAAGUAAAAAAAAACACAAAUCAUGCUUAUACUGGUCUUUUAUAUAACUGUUAUUAUGAAAUUGCCCAAAGCAUUAUUAUUACGAAAUACAGUUCAUCAAAUUCUCUAUACUAAGACUACUUUGUACCAGCUCGCAAACAAUCUGUUCAUAACUCAGGGGAAGACAAAAAUGCCCAUGAGAAAAUUAUUAAGCACAACAUGACUACUAUUUUAAACUUUUUAAAUAAAAUUUGACCCAUUUGUCUUAUGGAAAUAUGUUCAACAAUUAGUGGACAAAAAUUAAUGUUCACACAUACAUACACAUGAAUACUAGAAAUCAUAUUACUCUUUUUGUACAUUUUUUUUAUUAUAAAACUCAAAAUGUAACAAAAAGUACAUAUUCAUUUAAGUAACAUGUUGCAAUACUUCAAACACACAUUCGACUGCGCAUACCUGCAACACCCGUAGGUUUAUUUGCAAUAGUUUUAUUUGUAAGAGGAAAUAAAAUAUAUUAAUUGAGAAGAUAAAUAU